rnacentral:rRNA from 1 species
UACGUAGGGGGCAAGCGUUGUCCGGAUUUAUUGGGCGUAAAGAGCGUGCAGGCGGCCGUACAGGUCAGCUGUGAAAACUCGAGGCUCAACCUCGAGACGUCGGUUGAAACCGUACGGCUAGAGUCCGGAAGAGGAGAGUGGAAUUCCCGGUGUAGCGGUGAAAUGCGCAGAUAUCGGGAAGAACACCCGUGGCGAAGGCGGCUCUCUGGGACGGUACUGACGCUGAGACGCGAAAGCGUGGGGAGCGAACAGG